CUCUAGUUCCCCUGACCGGGAGGCACCUGGCAGUUCACGUGCCUUCCGUUCGGCCUCAGCUCGGCCCUUUGGUAUUUCACCUAGGUAUUUCACCUAUGUGUUGAAGUCAGUCAGGGCGACUCUGAGGGCCAGAAGGAUCAGGUCAAUCAUCUCUCUGGACGAUAUUCUAUUGAUGGCACAAGAUCCAGCCAUACUGCAUUGGUAUACGUCGUUCAAAACCCGCCUGUUUCAGGUCCUGGGGUUCAUCUUCAACGUGGAGUAUUCGGAACUGAAUCCCUCUUAACGGUUGGUCCAGUUCCUGUUUUUAAUGGUGGAUUUGGUUCAGGCGGUGCUCCGCCUUCCAAUGUCCCCCUACACUAACGGGCUCCACCAAUGCCUGAAGGCGCACUAUCUCAGGUCAUCGGCUUUAUACGAC